CCUUACACUCAUAUAUCGAUUUCAGUUAUACACCCGACCGUCGAGACAAACUUUACAAUAUUCAGUAGUUGAAUGAUUUUAAGUUCGUGCAUUUUGAUUAAAUCAUGGAUACAAUAAUACUUAUGUUGCUGAUGUUUGCAUGUGUUUUCUCAGCUCUUCCGGCGGAUGCUGUGCGUUGUUACAAAUGCAAUUCUGUUAAUACUCCAAACUGUGGAGAUCCUUUCCGUAGCACCAGUGUAUCGACAACCGCGUGUAUCGGACUCUGUACGAAAGUGACAAUAGACAAGAAACAUGCUGACAUCGGUGGAGAAAUAGCGAGAGACUGCCUCGAAUCCGACAGAAUAGUCAAUGUCUGUGUGCAAUCUUCAGCGCUCGGAUACGAAGGGGAAGUCUGCUAUUGUAACACUGAUAACUGCAAUAGUGCUGAACAAUCAGCAUCAAAUUGUGUGGCAAUAUUUGUUGCUGCUAUUGCUUUGAAAAUCUUUAAAAUAUUUGACUCAUAAAUUGAUAUAAAUAACUUUCUGGUCCUGUACAAGCAACAUCAACUUUUGAAGCAAUAUUUAUUCAAUCUUAAAAAGUUUUAAAACUACAUUGAUGUUAAAAACCUUAUACUGAAAGGAGUUUUACAAUGUAUUGAAAUGGAUUACUAUAACACUUUUAUAUUAAGAAUAAUCAAAUCCUGAGGCAAUACAUACUGAUGCAAUUGUUAUGUCUUUCCUAAAACUGAUUGUCUUAGACAUUGUUGUACGUGUUAUCAUACCGAAUGUAAUAUCAAAAUAUUUUUUCAUGAAUCAUUAUAACAUAGGAGCAUCACAUUUUGUGGCAAUAUCUCAUUAUUUUAUUGUCCAUGUAGUUUUUACACAGAGUGUCUAAUACAUUGAUGUGAACUAUUUUACAAUGAGAGGAAUACUACAAUACAUUUCCUUGAUUAUUAUUAUACUGCUGUAACGUUUGGAUGCAAUCAUAUAUAAUUUUGUUUUCCUUUCAUCUAUCUUUAAAAUGAUUUGUCAUACAAUACAGCACUUUAAAUUCGAUAGCAAACAUACAAUGAUUGUUUAGGUCUUUGUUGAGUCUUUCUUUAAAAGACUGUGUCAUGCACAACAACAAAUCUGUAUAUUUUGCAUCAAAUGGCAUAGAAAUAACUGUUGUUGUUUUUUAAUAUAUCUUUUAUUUGUUAUACAACACUACUUUUAAUAAAUGGAACAUUGAAUUAUAUAAUUACAGCUGUUGUUGCUGUUGUUGUAAUACAACACUGCUUUAAAUGGAGCCUUGCAUUGCAUAAUUACAGCUGUUGUUGCUAUUCCUGUGUCUAUCUGCAACAUGUUAUUGACUUAAGUCAUACAUAAUGCAUCAAAAUGUAUCGUAGUUACUGUUUUUGCUAUUGUUGUGUCUAUCUUUAACCUACAAUUUAAACUGAUGUAAAUGGAGCAUCACACUUUAUUGAAAAAACUUGUUCUUAGUGUUUCGUCGAUCUUAUAAAAACUGUGUACUUAAAUAUAUUACUCUCAUCCUGAGGAGCUCUGGGACUAUAAAUGGCAAUUUUUAUCUAUAAUUUUACGGUACACAAUUUGUUUUUUGUAUAAUGUUGGAUAGAGUUACUCACACUGAAUGUGUUAAUAUAUAAAUAUAAAAUAAGAUAGACUAGUUUUUGAGUCGGUUAUAUAUAAAACAUUCAAGAUGAAAACAAAAUUCAUUAGCAACUUCAGAUUGGUUUUAUUACUCUCAUAGAAUAUAAAAUUUCGCAGAUAAUGUAUUUGUAUUCAUGUCGAUGGCUUAGCGCAAAUAAUCGCCUUCAAUUUAUAUGUUGAGUUACAUCCAUUUAGCACUUAUACCGCGAUGUGUGUAUUUGCUGCAACUUAAGUUAGCUGAAGCUUCGAAAGUUUAAAAUGUUUUAUUCCGAUUUUAAACGUUUUAAUAGGACACUGUGAAAACCUUUCAACAAACCUGAAAAAAACGACUGGCUUCAUAUAUCUAAUAUUUGAUUUGAAAAUGGUUUCAAUUCCGUUUGCAAAAGAAGUAAAUAUUUAUGUUCCAGUUUGUAACUUUAUUCUUUCGGGAUGCUAUUUUGAUAAACUUGCAAUAUUUGAGUCGGUAACUUUAAAGUUGAAACCUUAAUUCAGCAGUACUUCGUUAUCGUUUUAAUUCCCAUAUAGAAGUUAAAGGAUUAGCAAGAGGUACAAAUUCAAACAUAACAACGAAAGUAUUUGUAUUCACGUAAGAGCUUAGCGCAGGACUGUAUUAACGUCUUCUAUUUCUACUUUGGGUUACACUCAUAUUGCACUAGCAUCGCUAUAUGCUUUUUUGGUGCAGCAUAAAUUAAGUUUCCUUUUGCCAAUGAAAUAAUUAACUAUACUACAGUUGGUCGAUCCAAAUCUUCCCGGAUGCUAUUUUGCAUAAAUUAUGCUAUGAGUAUUUGGUUGCUAGUGUAUUUUGUAAAAUCAUCGUUUUAUUGCUAUUAAGAUAAUUUAGAAAUACAUGUAUUUUAAACAUGACUACUAAUUGCUUGAUCUUGCUUUUUGCAAUGGGCAAAGAACCGCUGAUGAAUUUUUUUUUAAUCGCAUGAAGAGACAAAUCGUCAAAUAAUAUCUGUUCAAUCGAAAUAAUCUUUCAAGCAUGGGUCGUGUAAAUAAGACAUGAGAAUCACAAUAUUUACGAAAUGUAGAGAUCAUAUGUUAAUUUUAUUUUCAACGGAAUGCAUUAAUGGUUUUAAUAUUUAGUAUUGUCUUCAUGUCGAUAGCUUAGUUAAGAGCUAGACAGUUGUAACGCCUUCUUAUCCUAUAUUGAGGUGCACCCUUCUUGUACCUAGCCUGCGAUUGUAUAUUUGCUGCUGCAUAAGUUAGCAUUAGCUUCGAAGCUUUUUAAGUUGUUUCGUCUUCAGUAAUUUUCAAUGUUUAUGUCAUAGGGUGUGACUUUUAUAUUUCAAAAAAAGUGUUACAAAUAUAUUUAUAUGUAUUUUGUUAAAAUACCCUUAUUCUCAUUUAUUACUCCGCCCCGUAAAUUAUCAGGUUUGGUAACUUUUACAUAUAGUGUAGUGUAGUUUGUUAAAUAUCGAGUUAUAGUAUAUAUUAACCUAAAACUAAUACGUCAGUGUUUUAAAUUAACCAAUCAACGUAUUACUACUUUCACUUUUAAGUCAAUAAAUCUUCACGUACAACGCCAAUUUAUACGGUGCUUUUCUAUCCAAUUUAUGCAGCUACUUAUUUAGAAUACUGCAGGUAAUUUAUUAAAUCCCGUUAUUAUAAUCUGUUAUCUUUGUAUUGAUUUAUAGUGUUAUAGGUUUUUGUAUGUCGUGAUAUAUUUACAUUGUUUCAAUGUAUUGUUUAAUGAUCGCGCCAUUGUUUAUCUGAAAUUCCGUGUUCGAGUAUUUGUACAUGUUCUAUGUUAGAUUAUUUUAUUAUAUAUGCAUUGUUUAGGAGGAUGACGAUGACGUCGAUGGUAUAGGUACUAUUAAAACGAUUGGCACGAAUUCACGUUUGUUCUGUUCCCCAUCUACCGCCCAGUAGAGGUCAGAGGUAGCCCGGCAACAGUGGCGCCCAAGGAAAAGAUCGUUUAUGUCGACACAUAUGGUAUACAGCACGUGCAACUGGUAGUGAUUGUCUAUGCAAGAACGACCCAUCUUCUGAUGUGACCAGUGACAUAAGUAGUAAGGCCAAAAAAAUAAAUAGGUUCGUUUCCGGUCUCC